AAAAGUCUAUAAAAGUCCACCUUCUAAUAGCAGACCCAGUGAUCCAGAAAGUCGACCCCUCGUGCUAAACAACGGAUUAUUUGUCUACAUCACAUCACCCAGAAUGAUGUUAGUUGCCUUCAUUCUUUCGACUGUCCUCAUCUCAAUACUCAUUUUGGACUGUAAUCUGUGUCAUCGUAAGAAAGGAAUUAUGUAUUCGAUAAACAGUUGUGGAAAGAAUGAAGAGUGUGAAGACUGCGUAAGAAGACAGCAAACUAUGAUAGAAAUGGUUUAAGUAUCAGUAGUUUUUCCUUCACAUUUCUGCUGGGAAAAAGACAGGAACAAAUGAAGCACAAUGAAACGAUUGUUAGAAAACUUGUAUAAAGAAAAAAACUUUUAGAAUUUAUGCUACGUUCGCACGAAUAUCUUGUUAAUGAAGAUAUUUAUCGAAUGAGUGUACUUUAAGUUUUUGUUACAGUGAUAUAAAACACAAAUUAUAAAUAUGAAGAUUCAUAGCAAUAUAGCUUGUGUACACCUGGAUGAAUGCGCUUUGAAAGAAAAUAAACUAAACACCUUUCAUGGAGACUAAUGUCUGGAGUCUUAAUGUUGAGUAAAUGAUAAGUACAAAUCUUUGGUAAAUGGAAACUUCUGUAUUCUCGCACAUUUUCCAUCGUGACACCAAGAUGCUGUGGAUACAAGUAUUGGCUUAAGGAUAGAGAAAUUAAAGCUUUUUUGUCCGAUUAUUUUUGAAAUAAUCACAGAUGAAAAA